UCCCGUCGUGCGAGAUUCAGGCCUGGUGGCCAAGCUCCUACCCAGGUUGAUACACGUGGCCAGUCCACGCACGAACGACCCGUUGGUUCUAUGAGGGGUGAUAUUCCGAAAAAGAAAAAAAUCGCUCAUAAACCACACGUUGGUCAGCGCUCCUAUGAAGUGGAUUUAGGAGACUUCGCCGACAGGGAGGAAGGGUUCUUUGAAGAGGGCGAACUCCCAUUGUCUCCCGUAUUCACUGGUUCUGAUAAUAUGGAUAGCUUCAUGGAGCAGAUGUGCGACGCCCUUCGUGACGGUUCUCUGGGUAUCAUUGAUCUUGGAUAGGUGAAUAGUGUUGAGCCCACCGUUCCAUAUUUAGGUAUAUCUACAUCCGAUGAUACCCUCCUCAAACAUGGGGAGAGAGAAUCUUCUGUUCUUGCUGCAGGUUCCUCGGGACCCGACGCUGGAUUAUUAGCCGAUAUGUUGGCUGAGCAGGCCACCAGAAGAACCGUGGGACCACCCUUUGAGAGUGAU